GGAAUCUAUCGAUCUUGAUGGAUGAGGAGAGAUCCUAUGUGAUUUAUAAGACUGAGUUCUAAAACCUUGGCCAGGGCAAUAUAUAUAGUGGAGAAAGAGUUUUUCACUCUCGAACUCAAGUCGAAUAAAUCUAAACAUAUGUCAGACGACGGGGUUUGACAAGUUAUCCAUGACCUCCGGUCUGUAGGGAUCCACGAUAGAAGGACUGUAUCAUACGAUAACUGCACCUAGAGGUUCAUC
rnacentral:lncRNA from 1 species